rnacentral:rRNA from 1 species
UACGAAGGGGGCUAGCGUUGUUCGGAAUUACUGGGUGUAAAGAGCGCGUAGGCGGUUUUGUAAGUUAGACGUGAAAGCCUUGGGCUUAACCUGGGAAAUGCGUUUAAAGCUACAAAACUAGAGUAUGGGAGAGGAUAGUGGAAUUCCGAGUGUAGAGGUGAAAUUCGUAGAUAUUCGGAGGAACACCUGCGGCGAAGGCGGGUUGCUGGGCCGACACUGACGCUGAGGCGCGAAAGCCAGGGGAGCGAACGGG